CCUACGGGAGGCAGCAGUGGGGAAUAUUGCACAAUGGGCGAAAGCCUGAUGCAGCAACGCCGCGUGAGUGGUGAAGGCCUUCGGGUUGUAAAGCUCUGUCUUUUGGGACGAUAAUGACGGUACCAAAGGAGGAAGCCACGGCUAACUACGUGCCAGCAGCCGCGGUAAU
rnacentral:rRNA from 1 species